AGGAGGAACAGCCCCAGUGGCGUGGCCAGUUUGGAAACCUGGAAUCAGCUCCGGCAGGAACUAAGCGAAUCUCCGUCGCAAGGACCGGAGGCUCCGGGGCGGG
rnacentral:pre_miRNA from 1 species